rnacentral:rRNA from 2 species
UUUUUUUGUGGGGGGGGUCGGAGGGAUCAUUACAGAGUUGCAAGACUCCCUAAACCAUUGUGAACCUACCUUCUACCGUUGCUUCGGCGGGCGGGCCCAGCGCCCCCCCGGCCCCCCGCGGGCGCCCGCCGGAGGAUACCCAAACUCUUGACAUUAGUGGCCUCUCUGAGUAUUCUUUACUGAAUAAGUCAAAACUUUCAACAACGGAUCUCUUGGUUCUGGCAUCGAUGAAGAACGCAGCGAAAUGCGAUAAGUAAUGUGAAUUGCAGAAUUCAGUGAAUCAUCGAAUCUUUGAACGCACAUUGCGCCCGCCAGUAUUCUGGCGGGCAUGCCUGUUCGAGCGUCAUUUCAACCAUCAAGCCCCCGGGCUUGUGUUGGGGACCUGCGGCUGCCCGCAGGCCCUGAAAACCAGUGGCGGGCUCGCUAGUCACACCGAGCGUAGUAGCAUACAUCUCGCUCAGGGCGUGCUGCGGGUUCCGGCCGUUAAACAGCCUUCUGCGCUAACACCCAAGGUGAACCUCGGAUCAGUUCGAUGAACGAUCUAU